UCCCUGGUGGCUCAGAUGGUAAAGAAUCUGCCUGCAAUGCAGGACACCCAGGUUCGAUCCCUGGGUUGGGAA
rnacentral:tRNA from 1 species